UGGCUCACUUGGUAGAGCAUGGUGUUUGCAACGCCAGGGUUGUGGGUUAGAUUCCCAU
rnacentral:tRNA from 1 species